rnacentral:tRNA from 2 species
CCCAGGUUAGCUCAAUUGGUAGAGUGCUCCACUGGAUAUGGAGAGGUCCCAGGUUCGAUACAUGGGCCAGGCG